GUCCUAAGGUAGCGAAAUUCCUUGUCGGGUAAGUUCCGACCUGCACGAAUGGCGUAACGAUGGCCACACUGUCUCCUCCCGAGACUCAGCGAAGUUGAAAUGUUUGUGAUGAUGCAAUCUACCCGCGGCUAGACGGAAAGACCCCAUGAACCUUUACUGUAGCUUUGCAUUGGACUUUGAAUCAAUCUGUGUAGGAUAGGUGGGAGGCUUUGAAGCGGGGACGCCAGUUCUCGUGGAGCCAUCCUUGAAAUACCACCCUGGUUCAUUUGAGGUUCUAACCUUGGCCCGUUAUCCGGGUCGGGGACAGUGCAUGGUAGGCAGUUUGACUGGGGCGGUCUCCUCCUAAAGUGUAACGGAGGAGUUCGAAGGUACGCUAGGUACGGUCGGACAUCGUGCUAAUAGUGCAAUGGCAUAAGCGUGCUUAACUGCGAGACCGACAAGUCGAGCAGGUACGAAAGUAGGACAUAGUGAUCCGGUGGUUCUGUAUGGAAGGGCCAUCGCUCAACGGAUAAAAGGUACUCUGGGGAUAACAGGCUGAUUCCUCCCAAGAGUUCAUAUCGACGGGGGAGUUUGGCACCUCGAUGUCGGCUCAUCACAUCCUGGGGCUGUAGCCGGUCCCAAGGGUAUGGCUGUUCGCCAUUUAAAGUGGUACGUGAGCUGGGUUUAAAACGUCGUGAGACAGUUUGGUCCCUAUCUGCCGUGGGCGUUGGAAAUUUGAAGGGGGCUGCUCCUAGUACGAGAGGACCGGAGUGGACGAACCUCUGGUGUACCGGUUGUCACGCCAGUGGCAUUGCCGGGUAGCUAAGUUCGGAAGAGAUAACCGCUGAAAGCAUCUAAGCGGGAAACUCGCCUUGAGAUGAGAUUUCCCGGAGCCUUGAGCUCCUUGAAGGGUCGUUCGAGACCAGGACGUUGAUAGGUCGGGUGUGGAAGUGCAGUAAUGCAUUAAGCUAACCGAUACUAAUUGCCCGUACGGCUUGUCCCU
rnacentral:rRNA from 1 species